CCGCGUGGGGGAUGACGGCCUUCGGGUUGUAAACUCCUUUCGUUAGGGACGAAGCCACACCUUUUUUGGGUGUGGUGACGGUACCUUUGUUAAGAAGCACCGGCUAACUACGUGCCAGCAGCCGCGGUAAUACGUAGGGUGCGAGCGUUGUCCGGAAUUACUGGGCGUAAAGAGCUCGUAGGUGGUUUGUUGCGUCGUCUGUGAAAUUCCGGGGCUUAACUUCGGGGUGGCAGGCGAUACGGGCAUAACUAGAGUGCUGUAGGGGAGACUGGAAUUCCUGGUGUAGCGGUGGAAUGCGCAGAUAUCAGGAGGAACACCGAUGGCGAAGGCAGGUCUCUGGGCAGUAACUGACGCUGAGGAGCGAAAGCAUGGGGAGCGAACAGGAUUAGAUACCCUGGUAGUCCAUGCUGUAAACGGUGGGCGUUAGGUGUGGGGACCGGUUUGGUUUCUGUGCCGUAGCUAACGCAUUAAGCGCCCCGCCUGGGGAGUACGGCCGCAAGGCUAAAACUCAAAGGAAUUGACGGGGGCCCGCACAAG
rnacentral:rRNA from 1 species